rnacentral:lncRNA from 1 species
AAAUUGAGAUGUCAAUGAUGGAGGAUGACAUCAAAAUAAACCGGGUAUGAUCGUUCCCUGCUCUACCCUACUGCUAGUAGAAUUGAUGUAAUGUUUAGUAAGUAUUGAUAUUCAUCAUGUCCAUGUUCAAAUAGAUCACGAUCUCGAAGGCGAUGUCAAAAUUGAGUAUUCAAUCAAUGGACAUCUUCACCAAGCCUUUCAGAUUAAGAGUUGUUCUUCCGUAUUCUUAGUGAACUCGGAGUUCUUGACUCUACGUUGAUCAAGUGCAUAUAUUUAUGUUGCAUUCAUAUUUUGAACAUUGCAUUUUUGCAGAGAUAUCCUCAUAGAUAGGGGGAAUAUA